rnacentral:rRNA from 1 species
UACGUAGGUCGCAAGCGUUGUCCGGAUUUACUGGGCGUAAAGAGCGCGCAGGCGGCUGGUCAAGUCCGAUGUGAAAUCUCCCGGCUCAACUGGGAAACUGCAUCGGAAACUGAUCGGCUUGAAGGUGGGAGAGGGUAGUGGAAUUCCCGGUGUAGUGGUGAAAUGCGUAGAUAUCGGGAGGAACACCAGUGGCGAAGGCGACUACCUGGACCAUUCUUGACGCUGAGGCGCGAAAGCUAGGGGAGCGAACGGG